CAGAGCAAUUCGGCAAUGCCAAGUCCAAGCCAGCAGUUCUACCUCUAGUGAUGGACCCCAGAGAAACACCCACAGCCACGCACAUGAGGUAGCCCGGCUAAAAUGUCCACGCCCUGAGAGCACGGCAUUUUUGUCUGUUUUAUUCUUUGCUCUAUCUCCAGUGCUUAUGCUUAGUUGAUGUUUGGUUAACAUUUGUUGACUUGAUUAAUGAAUGAACUAAAGACAUGGUGAUAUUGGGAAAGAUUGCUCCAAGCUCCAUCAAGGAGGUGGAGACUAGAGGCAGGAGGAGAGAGGUACAAUGCUAUAGGUGGAAAGUGACAGUGUCCUCUAUCAUGAAGACCAAUUCAGACAGAGUGACUGUCCCAGUUGCACACUCAAUUAUUCCCUGGUAAGCUCAUCUCCUUCCUCCUCUUCUCACAGACAGCCUGAGGGUCUCUGCCUUAGACCUCAGUCAGGAGAUUCGUAAGUUCUUCUUUAGUAAACCGAGAGUCAAGCAUUGUGUGCAAUGGGUCUCAUCAUUCAGCAACCGUGUUCCAGGACCUAGGAAACAAAGUCCGAGUUCCUCAGCCUGGCAUUUAAUACCCUUUAAUACCUAUCAUUCCCUACACUCAAAUGCCCCCAGGGGCCUGAUGGGCCACCAGCAAGUGAUUUGGGCUGGGAGGGGACUGGGGGCUGAGAGCAGGUGCCCCAUCUGAAGUGGGCAGCCACCGCCAGCCCAGCAAACAGUGAGACAGUCCUCCUGACCUGCUCUGUCACUCUCACCUCUGGGAUCUUACACACACACACACACACACACACACACACACACACACCCCACCAGGAGUAUAUGUCUGCCUGCCUCCCAUAUCCCAUUCCUGGGAGAACUCCCUUCCCAAUGUCUUCCAGCUGUGUUUCCCUGACUGUGGCCCUUCUUCCCAGGCAGCUCCUCUCCAGAGCUCCUCUGCUUGCAGCUUCUCAGUGUUUUCUCCUAUAAAACCACCUCUCCUAGAAGCCCUUGAAGCUUUCUCCCCUCCCCCAAUGGUAUCUAUACCACUAACACGGAAUGUCUGUGGUUGUUUGAUUCUGCUUGUAACUUUCUUCCACAGGUGUCCUCCUCUCAGUUUCUCUUUUGCUUAUUCUCCAAACUCUGGCUUCUUCUCCGCUAACUGCUUUGUCUAAGGGACCUGAUUCAUGCAGUGCUCUCACCUGCAUUGAUGUGCCUGGGGGAGGAGAGAGGGUUCGUCCCCUUCUGCUCUACUCAAAUCCCCAGUUUCUUAAGUCUAUCUUUACCUCCUCAGCUCCCCCAUCUUUGCUUCGAACCCCAGGUCAACUCUCCAGGUCUUUGACUCAAUAGGAAAUCAUGUUCCCACUGCCCUUGAUGCUUUGCAUGCCAAAGGGAGACUGAAGGGAUAAUGAGGGGGAGUGUCUCUGAGUUCCCAGGGUUGACAUGGAGAAGGUUCUGGAGGGAUGUGAGUGAUGUGCUCAAGAGCAGAGGAGGAGAGAGCACCACCAAGCAUUCCAACAUGCAGACAGAUAGGAAAUAGUCUCCUCAAAGGACUUGGUGGAAGUGGGGGCAAUUUCUUCUCUUUCACUUCUGCAGGAAUCCAGGUAUUAAUGCUAAGAGAGUGGGUUUGAGAUUCUCAGGCUCUCGAACACAAUGAUUCAAACCCCUUCUUAAUCUUUCCUGGAAUGGCAAGGGCUCUCAGAACUGGAUUGGCCCUCGGUAGAACAGGAGCUUUUCAUUUUGCUCCACCGCCGUCCCUUUCUCUCACCUACCACUAACUCAGGAAAGGGUCAGGACUGGGCACAACCCAACUGUAAGCCAACAAGGCUACAAACCACCUUCAGCCUCUUGUUUGGGAUUCUCUCUCCCUUUUUUUCUUUAAGAUUUUAUUUAUUUAUUCAUGAGAGAGGCAGAGACACAGGCAGAGGGAGAAGCAGGCUUCCGGCAGGAAGCCCGACGCCAGAGCCAAAGGCAAACGAUCAACCACUGAGCUACCCAGGCGUCCCUCUUCCUCCCUUUUCAUCAGUACCCCAGCUGGGAAGAA
rnacentral:lncRNA from 1 species